UACGUAGGGUGCAAGCGUUGUCCGGAAUUAUUGGGCGUAAAGAGCUUGUAGGCGGUUUGUCGCGUCUGCUGUGAAAUUUCGGGGCUCAACCCCGAACUUGCAGUGGGUACGGGCAGACUAGAGUGUGGUAGGGGAGACUGGAAUUCCUGGUGUAGCGGUGAAAUGCGUAGAUAUCGUUUGGAACGCCAAUGGUGAAAACAGACAGCUGGGAGUGUGCUGACGCUGAGACACGAAAGCCAGGGGAGCGAACGGG
rnacentral:rRNA from 1 species